rnacentral:rRNA from 1 species
GACGAACGCUGGCGGCGUGCCUAACACAUGCAAGUCGAGCGAAUGAAGUUCCUUCGGGAAUGGAUUUAGCGGCGGACGGGUGAGUAACACGUGGGCAACCUGCCUCAUAGAGGGGAAUAGCCUUCCGAAAGGGAGAUUAAUACCGCAUAAGAUUGUAGUACCGCAUGAUACAGCAAUUAAUGGAGCAAUCCGCUAUGAGAUGGGCCCGCGGCGCAUUAGCUAGUUGGUGAGGUAACGGCUCACCAAGGCGACGAUGCGUAGCCGACCUGAGAGGGUGAUCGGCCACAUUGGGACUGAGACACGGCCCAGACUCCUACGGGAGGCAGCAGUGGGGAAUAUUGCACAAUGGGGGAAACCCUGAUGCAGCAACGCCGCGUGAGUGAUGACGGCCUUCGGGUUGUAAAACUCUGUCUUCAGGGACGAUAAUGACGGUACCUGAGGAGGAAGCCACGGCUAACUACGUGCCAGCCGCCGCGGUAAUAC